rfam:Oryza glumipatula chromosome 1, whole genome shotgun sequence.
AAUAAAUACAGUUUUACAUUAUUCAUGUUCAACAUUUGACCAUUCGUCUUAUUUGGAAAAAUUUUAUGAUUAGUAUUUUUAUUGUUAUUAGAUAAUAAAAUAUGAAUAGUACUUUAUGAAUAACUUUUUUUUAAAAAAAUUUAUAGAUUUUUAAAAUAAGACGGACAGAGAAAUGUUGAACACGGAUAUCACGCUGUAUUUAUU